rnacentral:rRNA from 1 species
AGAGUUUGAUCAUGGCUCAGAUUGAACGCUGGCGGCAUGCUUAAUACAUGCAAGUCGAACGGUAACAGAUUCUUCGGAAUGCUGACGAGUGGCGGACGGGUGAGUAAUACAUAGGAAUCUGCCCAUGUAGUGGGGGACAACUUGGGGAAACUCAAGCUAAUACCGCAUAAUUCCUACGGGAUAAAGAGGGCCACUGCUUGCAAGCUCUUGCUACUGGAUGAGCCUAUGUCGGAUUAGUUAGUUGGUAAGGUAAUGGCUUACCAAGACAGCGAUCCGUAGCUGGUUUGAGAGGAUGAUCAGCCACACUGGGACUGAGACACGGCCCAGACUCCUACGGGAGGCAGCAGUAGAGAGUAUUGGACAAUGGGCGCAAGCCUGAUCCAGCAAUGCCGCGUGUGUGAAGAAGGCCUGCGGGUUGUAAAGCACUUUCAAUUGGGAAGAAAGAUUAUGAGUUAAUACCUUAUAAUAUUGACGU